rnacentral:rRNA from 1 species
CUCGUGGAGGGCGGACGGGUGAGUAAUUGGAAUCUGCCUGGUGGAACUGAAAAUGCUAAUACCGCAUAGAGGCCUGGCCUUGCUCAGAUGGCCAGUGGAUUGCUAGUGUGGGUAAUGCUCAGCGCGAUCCUAUGAGAGGAUGGCACCUGGAACUGAGCACGGUCCGACUCUACGGGAGGCGCAGUGGAAUUGCCAAUGGGAAGCCUGAUCAGCAUGCCGGUGUAUGAAGAAGUUCGGUUUAAGCUUGGGAAGGGUAAUAUAUGACGUUACCGCAGAAAAGCCCGGCUAACUGUGCCGCAGCCGCGGUAAUACGAGGGGCAAGCGUUAAUCGGAAUUACUGGGCGUAAAGCGCCAGGGGUUGUAAGUGGAUGUGAAAUCCCCGGGCUCAACCUGGAACGCAUCAAACUGCAGCUGAGUUGUAGAGGGUGAAUUCGUGUAGCGGUAACGUAGAAUGGAGGAACACCGAAGGCCCCUC